UACAGAGGAGCCAAGCGUUGUCCGGAUUGACUGGGCGUAAAGCGCACGCAGGCGGUCGCGCGCGUGGGGUGUGAAAUCUGGCCGCUUAACGGCCAGGCGCCAUCCCAUACGGCACGACUGGAGUGAUGCAGAGGUCGAUGGAAUUGCCGGUGUAGUGGUGAAAUUCGUAGAUAUCGGGAGGAACACCAGAUGCGAAGGCGGUUCUCUGGAAAUUAUCUGACGCUGAGAAGCGAAAGCGUGGGGAGCAAACAGG
rnacentral:rRNA from 1 species